UUUCAAGCUGAACACAGUAUAGAACUUUAAUCAUUUGGACUGUAUGGGUGAGGACGUGGCGUGGCCCACAACCAGUGAGAUGUGAUGCUUUGAUUUAUUGGAGGUCCUUAAGACAGGCAAACUGGCAGUAAGAAAAUCUGUUAAAGUGAAGGUCAGUGUUCAUACAAAGUACAACAGACAACAGGCAUGUGGAGAGGGGAACAUUUAUGGAGAGGGACCGGAAAUUGCAGAGUGGGAUGCUGUGAAGGAACCGAGGUGCAGUAUGGGAGUCAUGACGUCAUCUUUGGUGGACCAGGGAAAAUGCGGAAGUGAAGAUGCUUGGCUUAGAGAAAGUCACGUGGAUUAUGACAGCGUUGUUUAUCUUCUGCGAAAACAAAAGAAGGAAAGUUGGAUCACAGAUGGGUGAUGUGACUUGCUAAAAAUGAUAUGGUGUCAGAAGUGGGAUUUAAACACCUCUUCCAGAAUGAGCAUAAUGUAAAUGGUGCACAGCAAUAUGAAUUAGACCAACUAAUAAUAUUAUUCAGAAGUAACGGUUAAAGUUCUGUAAUCAUAGUAAAGUGUUCUUACAUUUCACUGUAUAUUACUGAGCACACAAUGCAUACUUUUAAAUUCUAAAAACAA